GAUGAAGAACGUAGCGAAAUGUGAUAAGUAAUGUGAAUUGCAGAAUUCAGUGAAUCAUCGAAUCUUUCAACGCACCUUGCGCUCCCUGGUAUUCCGGGGAGCAUGCCUGUUUGAGUGUCAUGAACUCUUCAACUCCCCAGUUUCUUGUUAGACUGUGGGAUGUUUGGAUUUUGAAUGUUGCUGGCUCCUCGGAGCGAAGCUCGUUCGUAAAACAUUAGCAUCUCUAAUUCGAACUCGGAUUGACUCAGUGUAAUAGACUAUUCGCUGAGGACACCAGUAAAAUGGUGGCCGUGAUCAAUAGAAGAGAAGCUUCUAACCCCUCUAGUCAUUUUUGAUUUAGACCUCAAAUCAGGUAGGAUUACCCGCUGAACUUAAGCAUAUCAAUAAGCGGAGGA
rnacentral:misc_RNA from 1 species